rnacentral:rRNA from 1 species
CCUACGGGAGGCAGCAGUGAGGAAUAUUGGUCAAUGGACGAGAGUCUGAACCAGCCAAGUAGCGUGAAGGAUGACUGCCCUAUGGGUUGUAAACUUCUUUUAUAUGGGAAUAAAACGUUCCACGUGUGGGAUUUUGUAUGUACCAUAUGAAUAAGCAUCGGCUAACUCCGUGCCAGCAGCCGCGGUAAUACGGAGGAUCCGAGCGUUAUCCGGAUUUAUUGGGUUUAAAGGGAGCGUAGGUGGAUUGUUAAGUCAGUUGUGAAAGUUUGCGGCUCAACCGUAAAAUUGCAGUUGAAACUGGCAGUCUUGAGUACAGUAGAGGUGGGCGGAAUUCGUGGUGUAGCGGUGAAAUGCUUAGAUAUCACGAAGAACUCCGAUUGCGAAGGCAGUUCACUGGACUGCAACUGACACUGAGGCUCGAAAGUGUGGGUAUCAAACAGGAUUAGAUACCCUAGUAGUC